CAAGGUAUAGCUUAAUAUAAAGCAUCUGACUUACACUCAGAAGAUCUAACAUUGCUUGGUGACCUUGA
rnacentral:tRNA from 1 species